ACUGUACAAUUAGUUUUUGUUUUCAUCUAUAUCUAAUGCUUCAUACAUGUGCCUCAAAAUUCGAUGUGACGGAGAAUCUCUUAAAAAGUUUUUAAAUUUCGGGGUGAACUAAACAAGGCCAUGAUUAAAGUGAAACAUGGAUCGCGCGUUUUGCUAGUUUCACCAGCAAAGAUGAUCUCCACAGAUCGAGUGAUGGACAUCUUGGCCUUGUUCUCUAUCUAGUCCGUUUCUUGAACGAUUGUUGGAAAGAGAGGGAUCAUCAUUUCAUAGCGCACGAGAAGCAGGUGCUGCAUGCGCAAGAACAAACUGAUACGACGGCCGGAUGUAUAUGCCGUCUAGUAUGGUAAUGAUGGACCAUGACUGACCACGAUCCGAGUAGUGGCACAUCAGCCACUUCUCCUGGUCAGCGUUACACUGUCCCCAGCAGCUGCAGCUUUAUUAGAAGAAAAAAAAUUGCUUGGCCUCUCUCUUGUGUCUUAUCAGUAUCUCGGCCGUGACAAACUCUGAACCAAACCAAUUAUGUUUCCCUUGAACAAACCUCAAACGCCAUCAGAUGAUUAUUCUAUGUCUUGUUUAGUUCACCUAAAAAUAAAAAAAAUUACAAGAUUCUCCGUCACAUCAAAUAUUGCAGCACAUGCAUGGACCAUUAAAUAUGGAUGAAAACAAAAACUAAUUGCACAGUUUAUUUGUAAAUCUCACGAUACAAAUCUUUUAAGCCUAGUUACACUAUGAUUGGACAAUGUUUGUCAAAUAAAAAUGGAAAGUGUUAUAGUGUCAAAAUCCAAAAACUUUUUAGAUCUAAAUAGGGCGCUAGUAUCAAGUCCAUUACGAGGUCAUCUCUCUCUCAACAUGCACAAGGAUAAAUAUCACUUUAUUGGUACUCUCUCCGUCCAGAAAAAAAAUAUAUUGCUAGCAUAUAUAAAAAAAGCAUCUUACAUGUAACUAAAAUUAUUUAUUUAACAAAUAUCUAUUUAUAAAAAUCAAAUAAUUGUUAUCAUCAUGAGAUAUAUUUUUAUAGCUAGUAUACCC
rnacentral:lncRNA from 1 species